GUGUGUGUGUGUGUGUGUAUAUGUAUGUAUAUAUAUGUAUAUGUAUGUAUAUAUAUACAUAUAUACAUAUAUAUGUAUGUAUAUAUACAUACAUACAUAUAUAUAUAUACAUACAUACAUAUA
rnacentral:miRNA from 1 species